CAAAAAUUAAGUUAUCAUAUUAAUUAGUUUUCUCAAUUUGCAAGAUAUACGUGCGUGAAUGGUUACUUGAUUUUGAGAGGAUAAAAAUAUUUCUACCUAAUAUUUUACAUCGCCUAUGUGACAUCUGUUCAAACACAAAAUUCAUGACAUCCUGAAAACGUUCGAAUAAAUCCUGUCUUUUCCCUAGUCUAUAAAUGGAUCCAAUUUAUAGACGAAACCAGCGUCGUGUCACUGUCAAAUUUGAAUGUAGUUAUAGUUUUCCUGUUUAAAAUGUGAUUUUUCGAAGAAUAAAAAUAACAUUUAUUAUAUCUUACAAUAUGUAUUGUAAAAAAUUUGUUUAAUUAUUGUGAAACUGAAGAUAGAAAAUGAUAUUACUAAUUAAUAUUACUUGAAAGAUUUCUAUACAAAAAUUCUAAGACUAUCGCCUAUAUUAAAUCAAGAUCAAAGUUCAAUUAAUUCACGCGCAUAAAUGAAAAAUAGUAUCAAAGUUUCACGCCUUGAUCCUGAAUCUGAAAUAAGCAAAAAGUGAAAUGAUAUGCAUACAUCGAGCCAUCGAGAUACAUACACGGGGAGAAAUCCCGAUGAUAAAAAUAGACUCAAACAGCCGUGAGGACCCUUUCGUCGGGUCUAAGUGCGUAAGUGGCGUGUGGAGUGGUUGACCAGUUGGUCGGAAGUGCAUACUACCCGCUCGAUGGGACGUCAGCACGAAUCGUGACGAAAGGAUGUAACGUCGAUUGAGGGAGAGAGAGAGCGGCAUAGAAAGAGGGAGCCAUAGAAAGAGAACGAGAAAGAGACAAGCUCUCGAUAUUACAUACAGACUGGGGAGGGCCAGAGAGAAGGGGGAGGUUUUCCUUUUUAAAAGAAACGGGACACGCCGUGAUAUAAUCGCGUAAUCGUUGCGUCGAGAGAAGUCAAAGGCACGAAGCAUGCACACGAUCGUUUCGGGCUCCGGUUCAACUCGUGAUUCCGGCUCUUCUUCCCCUCUUCUUCCAUCGUACGUCGCAAUGGGGAAAGAACAAACGAAAGAGAAAGAGACGAAAGAGUCGAUGAGCAGCCGCCGUUCCGUUCCUUGCGAGCCGUGCCUCAACUUUCACUCUGAUCUGUUACGCCUCGACAAUAUCCCGCUUCGUCCUCCCACCAUGCUACUCAACCAUGCAUCUUUCCCUCCAUUUACCAUCGUGUCGAUCCUGUUCUGAUUCCUGUGCUGCUCCGAGGGUACAAGGUAACGAGACGCCAUACGUACACCACCGAUAAGCCAAUAGGAGCUGUCCACUAUAUGACGUCAUAUGGAAAAACGAUCGAUAUAUAUAUAUAUAGUGUAGGAUGGAAAGGGAUGCAGGUGUACGGACAAAUAGAUCGAAACGAAGAGAUGGAUUUCUGUACUGUGGUGGAUUCAUGCG